rnacentral:rRNA from 1 species
UACGUAGGGUCCGAGCGUUGUCCGGAAUUAUUGGGCGUAAAGGGCUCGUAGGCGGUUUGUCGCGUCGGGAGUGAAAACACGGGGCUUAACCCCGUGCCUGCUUCCGAUACGGGCAGACUAGAGGUAUGCAGGGGAGAACGGAAUUCCUGGUGUAGCGGUGAAAUGCGCAGAUAUCGGGAGGAACACCGGUGGCGAAGGCGGGUCUCUGGGCAACAACUGACGCUGAGGAGCGAAAGCGUGGGGAGCGAACAGG